GGUCGAUGAUGAGCUGGCAUGUAUUCUGAAUCUGAAGUUGAUUAUUACUACUUUAGCUCUAGAAUUACUCUGAGACCUG
ensembl:snoRNA SNORD45C small nucleolar RNA, C/D box 45C